CCUCACGUAGUGUCUUAAUUAUGUCUCUCUUUCAGGAUGAAGACGGGAACAAGAUGUUAAAUGAAUACAUUCGAGAGUAUAAGAUUGGUCCUGGUAGCUAUGCCAAAGUGGGUCUUUACCAAAGUAGUGUUGAUGGACGACAUUAUGCAAUUAAGUCCUUUCAUAGGUCUCACUUGCGAAAGCUUCGAGUUUCCCCAUCUGAGACUGCCAUGACGGAUGUACUACGUGAGGUAUAUAAUUGGAUAGUGUUUUUGUGCAGCUGUUGACUGUGAAGAUAAUUCUUGAAAGGGACGAUGAAGAUGACGAUGAUGAUUCCAAUGGUAACCACCAGGAACCGAAAGAGAAGAAACACAUUUUCAAACUCGAGAUACUAGCAGGAAAUGCGAGAAAGGUGAGCGCUGUUCGGUUUGAAACGCUUAAUAUAUUUUAUGGUCUUACUGGAAUCCCUUAGGGUUAAUUGUUGAUAUAUAUGCAAAGGGACGGUCGAUGAGCUUUCUCAGAUGAUGCACUUUGAGCAGUGUUUACACAGCGGCAUUGUGGUCGUACAUGUUAAUUCCAAAAAUGAUAUUAAAGCUGUGGGUUACAUCAAUGUCAGCAACAUUUUAUCUGGAAAGUGUCUUGCUGAAAGGAAAUAUCUAUAUGGAAUUUCAUUGUAAUGCCUUUUUGGUAUCAAGAGGAAUGUGAAUGUGAAUGCUUUUCAAUGAGAGAAUUAUUCGAAUGACUCAGUCAAUUGUUUAGAUUUCCCAAGA